rnacentral:lncRNA from 1 species
AAAGGGUCCUGGCAGCAGCUGGAAGUCUUCCUACCUGCUCAUUCUUUCCCCAGAGAAGCCUGAGUUUCAGUGAGGAUGGAAUCGCUCGAGACAGCAAGUAACUUGAGCCUCCAACAAGCUGAACUCCGACUCUGGCACGUCAUACUGAUCGAAGUGAUUGCCCUCCUUCUUCAGGCGGUUCUCCUCUUAAUCCUGUACAUUUUACUCCGUAGGCAAAUAGCCAACUACUAUUGCCAAACGGUGAAAGCUGUAAGUGUCCAGGCCCAGACCCAGGCACCAAAGAAGCCAGAAGGCAAUCAUGAUCUAUCUGCUUUGAAAAAGACAGGGUCUAAGAGGAAUGUUCCAGGUCCUGCCCUGUCUUAUAAGGAUGAUAGUGGCAGUGACAGUGAUUCCUCCUCACAUAGCUCUGACAGUUCAGAAAGAUAUCCUCCAGCUUCCAACAGAAAGGCACUCAAUGAUAUGAAUUACAGCACCCUGGUCUUUCCAGCCUCUGUUUCCCGAAUGACUUUGUCUCUUGAUGACUAUGAGAACAUAAAGGCAGCUGGUGAUUAUGUCAAUGUGGACCCCAAGAAUCGUAUGAAUAAUGCCUGGAAUUUCAGUAACUCCUUCUCUUCUGAGC